GGGGAUGACAACUUGGCUUAAGUGGUGUGAGGGAUAGGUUUGGCAUUUUUGGCACCGUUACUAGAUUUAGAGAACUUAGUCUACUUUUGGUAAUGAUGUUAAGAAUACCCAACAAGCAUUUUUGGCGCCGUUGCCGGGGAAGGUUGAUUACUAAUCAGGAAUGGAAUAAAAGAUUUUGAGUUAUCAUUCGCAUCACUAAUAUGAUUGAGCUUAUCUAUUCUCUCAUACAGUUUUACCCCGAUAUUUUCCUAUUUCAUCUUAUGCAGGGGAAUGUAUGAAUAGAAGACAUCUUCCAGAAAAUUUUGUUGACAAUCCCGAAGCAUUAUUCAAGAAGACGAGAGCCAAGCUAAAGAAAUCAUCAACACUUCAGCAAGAAGCUUCAUCCAAUCAAGAAGAUCACCGGAACUUGUCUUCAAAGUUUGAAGCCAUGGCGAACAAAUCAAUCCGCGAGUUCUUAGCUCCCACUACAGACAACAUCCGCACUGGACCUGCUGCAGAGAUCGAUGGCAACUUUGAGCUCAAGCCUGGACUUAUCAACAUGGUGCAAUCCAACCAGUUCUGUGGGAAGGCACACGAAGAUGCUAGUGCUCAUUUACAACACUUCCUGGAGAUUUGCAAUACAUUCACCAUAUCAGGAGUUUCCAAAGAUGCUAUACUACUUCGCCUCUUCCCAUUCUCACUCUUAGGAAGAGCGAAGCAGUGGUUCUACGCUACAAAGGAGAAGAAUACUACGUGGGCACUCUGCUCAACAAACUUUCUGGCAAAGUUCUUUCCCAUGGGCAAGACCAAUGCUUUUCGUGGGAAGAUUACAAGUUUUCAGCAACAAAAUGAUGAAUCUGUUCCAGAAGCAUGGGAGCGCUUUAAAGACUACAUCCUAGAAUGUCCCCAUCAUGGAAUGGAGAGUUGGCUAUUAAUGCAGACAUUUUAUCAUGGGCUCGGCAACAGUGCCCGAGAGACUAUGGAUGCUGCAGCUGGAGGAGCAUUCUUAUCACUUACAAUACCACAAGCCACAGCUCUUGUGGAGAAGAUGGCGUCCAACCAAAGCUGGAAUGAAGAGAGGACCCAGACACGCAAGAGAGGUGGAGGUAUGCAUCAGCUGAAAGAGGUAGACAUGCUGUCUGCAAAGCUAGACCUGCUCAUGAAGAAGCUCGAUGAUAGAGCUGGAGACAAGAAAGAAGUUAUGCACAUCUACGACUCUCACAUGACUUGUGAGGAGUGUGGAGACACUUGACACUCAGGCAACCACUGCCCUGAGAUGCUUGAGGAUGUGAACUACAUCAACAACAACAACAACUACUACAACCGUCCUCAACAAAAUCAAGGUUGGAAUCAACAGAGGCCUAACUACUCAGGUAAUUAUCAAGGUAACAAUUCUUACAACAAUAAUGCUAAUAAUUUUCCACCUUUGAGAGAGUUAGUGUCUAAUCAAGGAAAGCUAAUGGAUAACCUAUCUAAGAAAUUGGCAUCUAAUGAUAAAAUGCUAGAAAAUAUAAAUAAUAGAAUGGAUAAUUUCUCUACUGCCAUCAAGAAUCAAAUUAGCUUUAAUAAAAUGAUUGAAUCUCAGUUAAAUCAAAUAGCUGCUGCUGUUCCUACUACUAACCCCGGUAUACCAUCACAACCGGAAGGAUUAGAAUCUGCAAAUCUUGUAGACACGUUUGAUGCAGGUAAUUAGAGUAACACCGUCACUGAAUUCUCUACUGACCUUCUGCCGGUCAAGAGAGGCGAUCCAGGACGCCCCGUCAUCCCGAUCUCUAUCGGCAUGGUGGACGUUCCAGAAGCACUCUGCGACUUUGGCUCCAGUGUCAACAUUAUACCCAGGGUACUCUAUGAAAAAUUCUUUACAUAUCCUUUAUUAGAAACAACCAUGUGUUUGCAGUUUGCAGAUCAGAUGAUAACUUUUCCAAAAGGAAUAGUGAAGAACCUUUGUGUCCGAGUUGGUACCUUAUAUGCCCCAGCAGACUUCGUAGUGGUAGAGACCGGAAAUGAUGAGAGAGCACCUAUCAUCUUAGGGAGGCCAUUCUUGAACACCACGGGAGCUAUCAUCUACGCUAGUGCUGCUAAGAUCAGUUUCUACGUCAAAGGGAAGAAGGAGACAUUUUUCUUCAAGAACAAGACUACACAAAUUCCAGAUCAUCCAGACGUCAAUCAAGGAAGAGGACCAACAGGAGGAACAGGAACAAGCAAGUGUGGACCGAGUCAGCUAAGAUGGUCACUGUAGUUCAUGGAGGCCAAGAUCACCAACUUAAGUCACCGCUUUUGACCAAGAAGGACGACCCAGGAAUGCCAAGCAUCUACUGCUCCAUACAUGGAUAUAGCUUCUACAAGACGAUUUGCGACACCGGAUCGGGCGUCAACAUAAUGGCCGCAGUCACCUAUCGGCUCUUGUUCGGGACCAUGCCACUAAGAACAACAUACAUUCAGCUCCAGAUGGCAGAUCAGACAUUUCGAGAAGUUAAAGGAACAGUAACUGAUGUCCCAGUCAAAAUAGACAAUAACUUUGUCUACACAGACUUUCAAGUUGUUGACAUGGGAGAAGAUGAGUACGAUCCACCCAUCAUCCUUGGAAGACCGUUCCUCAGCACCGUUAAAGCGAUUAUCUACAUUGGAACCGGAGAAGUCCAUAUGCACUUCGCCUCAGAGAAGGUACGCCAUUAUUUUACUGACCCUAACUAUAUCAUUGAAGAAUCUAAGCAGGUAAGAAAGCGACGCAACCGCAACCAGAGGAGGAAGAUCAUCAAGGACGGAUGGGCAGACUACGAAGGAGAAGUUAUAAGGUCAGAAAACGUAGAGUUUAAACAGAAUUAUCCAGAGGAGACCGAAGCACCAAGUCAGGUGUGGAAAAUGAAGAUAACUAUACAUGAAGAGGAGGCGCCGCCGGAAGUACCGACUACGCCACCCAACGAACCUCAGGACGAUUAAGAAAAUGGAGAGUCCCGUUCGGAGGACUUAAAAACACCGAACGCCUUGCCGAGAGGUAAACUUGGUAGUUAUCCUUUCCCUUUCAAUUAUUUCAACUAGUUUACAUAGUUAAUCAUGUUCGUACUAUCUUAAAAAUAAAAGAAAAUAAAAAUGCGAAAAACAGUAAGCCCCAUAUGAGUAUGCGAGUGGCAUAAAACCCAUAAGUACAUUCACUGUGGUGGCAUAAAAAAAUAAAAUAAAAAUUCCUUUUCUGCUUUAUAAAAUAAAAAUAUAAAAAUAGGGAGUAAUAAUUAUUAAGGAGUCUCAACAUGAUAAAGGCUAGAUAUUUAUGCUAACACUUAAUCAGUUCCACAAGCUUUGUUGUCUAUUUGAAACUCCACAGAAUUUAAGAAUCAAGAAGACUAGCAGACGGAGGACAUUCUAAUCGCUGUCAGAAUGCUGCUGACUUUCAAAUACACCUCUACCACCUACUAGCUACAUCAAGAGAAAUUACGUCAAAAUUCAGCUUGGGGGAGAGCACCUCCAUUUAUCCCGAUAAGUAUUUCUAUCUAUCUUUAUACUUAUAUUAUAUUAGAAUAUUAAAUAUACAUAAACUAUAAAAAACCAAAUAAAGAUUUUAAGCUUAUAUAUAUCUUUUGCUUAGUGUGUUUAAUAAAUAAAUAAAGUGGCUAUGCUAAUCUGUAUCUAAAUAAAACUUAAGCAUGGAUAUGAUGAAUAGUUGCUCUGCCUAAUUUGCACAUUUUAAGUUCUCUCUCAAGUUUAGAUAUAACUGUUAUAAUUUAAAGCUUGCUCUAGACCUAAACUUGUGGGAUGAAAACUUGAUCUGAAGUCUAAGUUGUUAACGGAUAUGAUAUGGGAAGGUUGAGCUGCUGUUUAUCUGUUCCUAGAGAUGCUAGAAUUCUGGAGAAUUUUAUCUUUGAAAAUCUUUAAAAUGUUGCAUGAUGAGUUUCUGUAUGAUGAUAGUUUAAAUUCCUACCACAGCCAUAUAUACAUGCUUGCUAGACUUUGAGCCACACAUUUACUAUUUACUGCUUAUGAGCAUUGAGUGUGGUCAAGCUGUGUAGACCCUUAGGAGCUUGUCAUGUGGUUAAAUCAAGAUUCACUUGCACGUUCACUCAUAUAUUCUACUUCUAUUCCGGAAGUACCAUCCACAUAUAUCCAUCCAUUCCAUCUCCAGAAUCACCCAAAAAUAUUCUACUCCUAAUCCGGGAGAGAAUAGCCAAAAAUAUUUCUGUUUUCCCUUGUGAAAUAAAUGCUCAAGUUAUCUUGUUACUACCACUUGCUAUAUUAUCUCAUGAGAUGAGUGCUUUCUAAAAAAAAGAGAUACGAGGAAAUAAAAAGAAGCAAGUGCUCGGAACCUCGAUAGAAAAAAGAGAGUGAGACGAGAGGUAAAAAUGGAAAAGUGUUCGACGGUAGAAUUAGGGGUACAAGAUACCCACCUGAGAGAAAAGAAAAAGAAGAGCAUCUCAUUCUCCUCAUAAAGUUUCAAAAAAGCAAGAAAGGUAUGUAUCCCCUCAAAAGAGCAAAGUAGAAUUAGACUUCCACCACCAUUGUUUUCACCAUUGUUAUCACCAUCAUCACCAUACAUCAUUCAUUCGCCACACAUGCACAUCUUCAUUAAACUCAUUGGCUUGUUUCUUUGGAUCCAUGGUUUGACUAUACAAUACAUGUCUUGUAAGUAUGUAUACUUUAUCUCCCACGUAUGAGCUCCAGAUAUUAAAGCCUUAUUAGAGUAGGGUGAGAGAGAAGCAAUGUCACUAUGCUUUAUACCACAAAUACUACAUAUAUCGAGAGAAGGCAUAUACCAUUACUGCCUUGGUAAGGAUCCAGAAAUACCACAAAAGAGAGAUCUGAGAGAAUCAUACAAGGAAUUCUGAGUUUUAUUUGAAAAUCUGCAAAAACCCCAGAGCUAUAGCUGAUCAAGAAUAAGAGACAUGGCACUUGACUAGACUGUUCUAUCUUUUAACCACUCAAGAUAGAAGUGACGGUUACAAGUCCCGUGGUAGAAGGUAAAGUAAGUAAGUUUUAAGUCUUCACAGUUUACUCUAACUCAGAGAUGAGAUCUUAUUUAAAAAGCAUGUGUACCGUCAAUUAUUAAAAAAAAUAUUGCAACAACUUAUGAUCCAUAGCUGAGUCUAUCCUUGCUCAGGGACGAGCAAGAGGUAAGCUUGGGGGAGUUUGUUGACGGUCCUUAAGUAUCAAAUUUAAUUAUCAAAUAAAUAAAGAAAGGGAUCCAAAUGAAAUCAACAUCUAGACUUAGGGUUUUAUCUGACAGAAUUCCACGAGUUUUGGUGUUUGUCUAUUUCUGCAGGGGGUUAUCAGGAAAUACGGAAGAAAGGCCCACACGUCGGGAUUACAUAGAGAUAUUAACGUGUUGCGCAAUUAUCUUACAUCUAGAAGACUCCAGAAGCCACGAGACCGAAGCGGAGGCGAAACGGGGCCAGAGGCAGGGCGCCCGCCCUCCUGCCCUGGGCGCCCGCCCCCUCUGGGAGUCCAAUCGGGACUCUGCUUUGCGGGAGAUUUCCACCUACCUAAAGGAUGAAUCUAAACCAUAAAAUCUAUGUCGGUUUGAUCCAAUGGCCCAUAUUCACUUGAAGGGACUAUAAAACCAGACCCCCUGGCCCCUGGAGGAGAGAGCCUCUCAACCCUAAUUCAUUAUUUCUCAAGGGAGAAGAAGCCCCUGAUCAAGAUUAGAGCCACCACAUCAAUUAGAUAUCUAGAUUAGCAUAGCUACAUAGGAUUAGAACUAGAAGGAGUCAAUCUUCGAUUGGUUUCCGGAUCUGUCAAGAGGAUUCUUGGUAAUUCUCUAAUUGUGCUUCUAAUUGCUUUCUAAUUAUCUUUGUUCUUCAAUAUUAUGAGUAUGACUUUGUUCUACUUCAAUAUAUUGCUUAUGACUUUGCUCUACUUGCUUAUAUUCAAGAUUAUAUUGUUCUUAGUUUAUCAUAGUUAUGUACUUGGCUUAGUUAGAUUCGAUCUAUAUACAUGCUUAGGAUCGUAUAGCGUUUAUCCAUCGGAUCCAUGGGUAAAUGAUAGAUAUUGUGUAGGCGUGGUGCUUAUACCGUAUUUAUCUGCGAUUGUACCCAAUAUGCCAGAUCGUGGGGUAGUUCGUGAUAGUGACAGCUUCAUUGAUUCUUAUAUAGUCCCCCUCUCGUGUAUUGGGCUGGCAGAGCAACAUUAUUACAGGGGAGUGAUUGCUAUGUUUCUCAUAUUCCUUGCUAAUAUCACUAUGCAUGGGCGUAGUCUUGUCUCGCAAUGAUUGCUAAGUAUGCUUGCACUAACUAUGAUAAUGCUAGACUAUAUAGUUGAGAAUAACUUAGGGAAUAUUCUUGUAGUUCGUUCUAAUACCAUGCUAAUGACUUUCUAGAGUAUCUAAUUGAGGUGCUUAUCAUAUUUAUUAUGUGGCUAGAUCAGAUUAAUUAUCCUUGUCACUAUUAUUAUUUCAUAUAUCUUUUAUGUGACACUUAUCCCUGUAUGAUGAGUUAGAUAUAAUGUUCUCAAUUAUACAUGCAAUGAUAGAUGCUCAAUCUCAUAUUCUAUUCUGUAAUCAAUAUUGAUGAUUGCUAAUCCCUUCCCAGUGGUAAAAAUAUAAAUAACGAUACCUGGAAUACAUUCCGGUUAAAACGCUGCAUCGGUAUUAAUCUGUGCGCUUGCAGAUCCCAUUCAUUAUUUAUUUAGAAGAGCAAUUGCAUAUUUCAAUACCGCGUCUCUUAUAUCAUGCUGGGGAUGACAACUUGGCUUAAGUGGUGUGAGGGAUAGGUUUGGCAUUUUUGGCACCGUUACUAGAUUUAGAGAACUUAGUCUACUUUUGGUAAUGAUGUUAAGAAUACCCAACAAAGUCAAAUCAAGAUGUGCAUGUGUGGCGAAUGAAUGGUGUAUGAUGAUGAUGCUGAUAAUGGUGAAAACAAUGGUGAAUGUCUAAUUCUACUUUUGCUCUUUUGAGGGGAUACAUACCUUUCUUGCACUUUGAAGCUUUUUGAGGGAAAUGAGAUGCUCUAUAUUUUCUUUUUCUUUUCUCUCAGGUGGGUAUCUUGUACCCCUAAUUCUACUAUCGGACACUUGUCCAUUUUUACCUCUCGUCUCACUUUUUCUUUUCUUCGAGGUUCCAGGCACUUGCCCCUUUUUAUUUUCUCAUAUUUUUCUUUUUUUUAGAGCACUCAUCCUCCUGGAAUAAUAUAGCAAGUGGUAGUAACCAAAGUAUUUGGAGCAUUUAAUUUCACAGGGAAUAACAGGGAUAGGAGAAUGUUUUUGGCUAUUCUCUCCCGGAUAGGAGUAGAAUAUUUUUAGGUGAAUCUAGAGAUGGAAGUGAGUGGAUGGAUGUGGAUGCGUACUUCCGGAGUAGAAGUAGCAUAUAUGAGUGAACGUGCAAGUGAAUCUUGAUUUUAACCGCAUUACAAGCUCCUAAGGCCCUACACAGCUUGACCACACUCAAUGCUCAUAAGCAGUAAAAAGUAAAUGUAUAGUUCAUAGUCUAAUAAGCAUGUAUAUGUGGCUGUGGUAGGAUUUUAAACUCUCAUCAUACAGGAACUCAUCAUGCAACAUUUUAAAUAUUUUCAAAGAUAAAAUUCUCUAGAAUUCUAGCAUCUCUAGGAACAUAUAAAUAGCAGCUCAACCUUCCCAGAUCGUAUCUGUUAACGACUUAAGAUCAAGUACUCUUCCCACAAGUUCAGGUUUAGAGCAAAUCUUAAUUCAAAACAGUCAUGCCUAAACUUGAGAGAGAAUUCAAUUUUGAGAACUAGUCAUGGUAGAGCAACUAUUCAUCAUUUCCAUGUGAGCGCUUAUCAUGAGGGUUCAUAGCAAACUUUAUUUAUUUAUUUAUUUAGCAAACUAAGCAAAGAUAUAUAUAAGCACAAAAAUCUUUAUUUGGAUUUUUGUGAGUAUGCAUCUUUUUAUUAUUUGAGUAAAGUAUAAACGCGAGUAGAAACACUUAGCUAGUUAAAUGGGGGUGCUCUCCCCCAAGCUGGAUUUUGACGUAAUUUCUUCUGAUGCAGCUAGCAGGUGGCGGAGGUGUAUUUGAAUGUCGGCAGCACCCUGACAACGAUUAGGACGUCCUUCGUCUGCUAGUCUUUUUUUAUCCUUGAAUUCUGUGGAGCUCAAAUAGACAACAAAGCUUUGUGGAACUAGUUAAGUGUUAGCAUAAAUAUCUAGCCUUUAUCAUGUUGAGCCUCCUCAAUAAAUGUUAUUCUCUUUAGUGGGAUCACAAUCUUAUUUUUAUAUUUUCAUUUUUAUAGGACAGGAAUAUAUUUAUUUUAUUUUUACGCCACCACAGUGAAUGUACUUAUGGGUUUUAUGCCACGAGCAUGCUCACAUGGGGCUUACUAUUUUUAAUAUUUUUAUUUUCUUUUCAAGAUAGCAUGAUUAACUAACAAGCCAUUUAAGGUAAGUAAAUAAUUUAAGGGAAAAGGGAAUGCAGAAAGGAUAAAUAUGGAUAACUACCGAUUUUACCUUUCAGCGAGGGUUCAAUGUUUUAAGUCUUCUGAACAAGACUUCUCAUCAUGUUCAUUCUUUAGGUGUGUCAUUUGAUUCAGGUGUGGACCUUGACAUCUGCACCUCUUGAUACGGUGUCACCCAUGUUCUUCGUUUGCCCAGCAGUUUGAAGUGUGGCGUUGGCAGCAUCCUGCUCGGUGUGUUUGUGCUCGUAGAUCCACGUCCUUCACUUGGCGGAAUCUGGGAGUUGUAAAACUCCACCAUGUUUUGCUCCAAGUCUACCUACUCAUAGAGACAAGGCAGAGAUCAAGUGCAUAGGCUCUGUUGGUGGAAAACACCAACAAAACCAAAAGUGUAUUUGUUCUUCUCUAACCUUAAGCAUAGUGAGCAAGACAAAUUUGAUGGAUAAUAAUUUCAUGAGUGUAACAUUUAAAAUAUUUGUCAGAUUAGAUCGCUCAACCUUAUUGAAUAAUCUAUCUAUGUAUAUGUCUUUUUCUUUAUAUCUUCCCAAAGAUUGAAUGUGCAACACUUUAGCUCAUAUGAUUAGGAGUGUA
rnacentral:lncRNA from 1 species